rnacentral:tRNA from 1 species
GGCCGGGUAGCUCAGUUGGUAGAGCAGGGGACUGAAAAUCUCCGUGUCGGCGGUUCGACUCCGUCCCCGGCCA